UCUGCGGGAAUUUGGGGGGGGGGCGGUGUCGGGUGUCGGCGGCCGGCAGCGCUUUGCGGCCGGUCGUGCGGGUCGGGCGCGGGCGGGCGCGGCGGCAGUGGCGCGCACAGGUGACUGACUGGCCAGCUGGCUGAGGGAGCGCCUGGUCCUCAUCGCUGGCAGGUGGCGGAGUCCAUUUGGGCGGCGGCAGUGGCGGCGGCGGCGGCAGUGGCGUCCCGACUUGGGAGGAGUUCCUCCAGCCAAGGCCAUGGCCCCGCGGCUGCAGCUGGAGAAAGCGGCCUGGCGCUGGGCGGAGACGGUGCGGCCCGAGGAGGUGUCGCAGGAGCACAUCGAGACCGCCUACCGCAUCUGGCUGGAGCCCUGCAUCCGCGGCGUGUGCAGACGAAACUGCAAAGGAAAUCCAAAUUGCUUGGUGGGGAUUGGUGAGCAUAUUUGGUUAGGAGAAAUAGAUGAAAAUAGUUUUCAUAACAUUGAUGAUCCCAAUUGUGAGAGGAGAAAAAAGAACUCAUUUGUGGGCCUCACUAACCUUGGAGCUACUUGUUACGUCAACACAUUUCUUCAAGUGUGGUUUCUCAACUUGGAGCUUCGGCAGGCGCUGUACUUAUGUCCAAGUACCUGUGGCGACUACGCCGUUGGAGAUGGUAUCCAAGAGGAGAAAGAUUAUGAGCCUCAGACAAUUUGUGAGCAUCUCCAGUACUUGUUUGCCUUGUUGCAAAACAGUAAUAGACGAUACAUUGAUCCGUCGGGAUUUGUUAAAGCCUUGGGCUUGGACACAGGGCAACAGCAGGAUGCCCAAGAAUUUUCAAAGCUCUUUAUGUCUCUUUUGGAAGAUACUUUGUCUAAACAAAAGAACCCAGAUGUGCAGAAUAUUGUCCAGCAGCAGUUCUGUGGGGAAUACGCUUAUGUAACUGUUUGCAAUCAGUGUGGCAGAGAGUCUAAGCUUUUAUCAAAGUUUUAUGAACUGGAGUUAAAUAUCCAAGGCCACAAACAGUUAACAGAUUGUAUCUCGGAAUUUUUGAAGGAAGAAAGAUUAGAAGGAGACAAUCGAUACUUUUGUGAAAACUGUCAAAGCAAACAGAAUGCAACAAGAAAAAUCCGACUCCUUAGCCUUCCUUGCACUCUGAACUUACAGCUGAUGCGUUUUGUCUUUGACAGGCAAACUGGACAUAAGAAAAAGCUGAAUACUUAUAUUGGCUUCUCAGAAAUUUUGGACAUGGAGCCUUAUGUGGAACAUAAAGGUGGGUGCUAUGUGUAUGAACUCAGUGCGGUCCUUAUACACAGAGGAGUGAGUGCUUAUUCUGGCCACUACAUUGCCCAUGUGAAAGACCCACAGUCCGGUGAAUGGUACAAGUUCAAUGACGAAGACAUAGAAAAGAUGGAGGGGAAGAAAUUACAACUAGGGAUUGAGGAAGAUCUAGCAGAACCUUCUAAGUCCCAGACACGUAAACCCAAGUGUGGCAAAGGAACUCACUGCUCUCGAAAUGCAUACAUGUUGGUUUAUAGACUACAAACUCAAGAAAAACCCAACACAAUUGUUCAAGUACCGGCCUUUCUUCAAGAGCUGGUUGACCGGGACAAUUCCAAGUUUGAGGAGUGGUGCAUUGAAAUGGCCGAGAUGCGUAAGCAAAGUGUGGAUAAAGGCAAAGCAAAGCACGAAGAGGUUAAGGAGCUGUACCAAAGGUUACCUGCUGGAGCUGGUCUGUAAGAUAUUCUGGGACCACACUGUUGCCAUUGAUGCCUUGUUUCUUUUACGUUCACAAAUGUAUAUGAACAAGCUUUUCUCUACCCUUUCUUAUAACCUGCUUGUGCCAGCUCAUACACUAUAAAAGUGCUUUGUAACUUGAUGUGUAGCAUCACAUCAACUUGAUGUGUAGCAUCACAAUUCUAUAUAAUGUGUAGUAUAGAAUUUUCAUUAUCAUGUACUUUUAAAAAUGGGAAGCUCUUAAUAAAUUAUAAGGCUUAGGUCAGCACUCUGCAUAUGACUCUAAGUAUUUCUAUUUAUGAGAGAUUAGUUUUUAAAGAAAAAUCUGAUUGGGUUACUAUGGAAGCAGCUCACCUACUCUGUUUCCUUGAAUACGUUGUACCCUCAUAGUAUUAACAGGCAUUCUUUUAAUGAAUAUUGUUUUUUAUGAUACUAUUAGAUUAAUUUGAAGUUUAAUAUCAACUAUUAUGCUAAGAAUAGGGAAGCGUUCUGCUGACCUCUGAUUUCUUAAGAAUUGUCCCACAUAAUCCAGCUCAUCCCUUUGCUGUACAUGUUUAUGCAAGUUUACCUAGUGCCUCAAAAAGGAAACCUCAACUUUUUAAGGCUGGUAUGCCAUUUGUAAUAAUAUGUUGUCUUUGUCAUUUCAUAGACAUGAAUCCCCCAUACCCAAUUCCUACUUAAAGAAGAGAGGCAAUUUAAUCCUAAUUUUAGAAAAUAAAUACUCAAGCAUAAUUGUAUUUGUGGUUUUUGUCUUUUUGAUAACUUUUAUCUUACUCCUAUAACUUUAAACAAAAGAUGGCUAUAAAUUGCUAAAUCUGGAGGAAUAGCUCUUAAAAGUUCCUUGUAAAUGACAUCUUAAUUUGAAUCUGACCUUUCUUUGUAACCUGUUAUUCUCACUCUGUCCCAAGGGUUAGGAUUAUCCUAAGGAAUUAGACUGAUCUUAAUUUUGCUGGAAAUGAACAUAUGAUUUAAAGCUCUAAAUUUAGGCAUAGGGGUUGGAACCUAGAAAUAUAUUUUUUGAACUUUAUUCACAGUUUCCAUUAUUCACUGGACAAGAGAAAGGGAUUUACUGGGUCUAAAGUAAAAUGCAUUUUGGAACCACUCUUUACUAAAGCUGUAUGGUUCAAAGAUGCUGUGUGUCAAGUGAACACAAACUUGUGAUUUUCUUGGCUGUUUUCAUUCAGUCUAUAAGAGCCUGUGCUUCUGUUUUUAGAAUAUAACUCUGUUAUCAGUACUUUUACCGAUUAUGAGCUUUAUCGUUUUUUUCCUUAAGUUUUUGCAAUAAAUUGACAUAGUGGAAGGUCCAUGUUGUCCCAAAAUGUUGUAAAAUCUCAGUGCUAAUGACCAUGGUUUUGUGCUGCCAUUCAAUGUCUUCUGUUUUGCAUUUUGUAAAUCUUAUCUUUGUGAACAUAUUUAAAGAAGAGUCACUUAUCCUAAAAUGUAAGCCUCACUGGGAACACGAACCAUUUUGGUCCUUUUUAUUUAAAUUGAAAUAACUUAUCUCUAAAUAAUAAUCUUAACUUCUAUCUAGGUAAAGUGUUUCAAAUAUUUUUGAUGACUCAGUCUUUCUAGAUUUCAUCUUUCCAAAAGAAAAUUCCUUGUGUUCAAAAUCCAGGCAUUAAAAAAAAAAAUUAUAAAUAAUCUUGAACAAAAAUGUGCAUUUCCCUUUGGUAAAUAUUUUAACAGUUGCUUUCCUGGUUCGUCCAAUGCUGAGGUGUUAUACAGUUCGUUAUCUCCAACUUGAUAGUUAGAGAGAGGGCUUAUUCCCAUUUGGUACUUGACUUUGGAAAGGGAUGCUUAGAUAGGUUACUGAAUCACAAAUAACAGAGAACAUCUUUGAAAACCUGCCAGGAGUCUUUCUCUAGCGCACAAGCAUCUGUAGUGUAAAAACUGCCCACAGGCAGAAUCUGCCUUAAUUACUGAGACUUGUGCUAGAGCUUGAUUCUCAGGGAAGCUCUGGGCAGAGAUUGAUACAACUCUUUAUAGUGAAGAAAAUUGAAAAUGGAAAGAAAGCAAGACCUCUGUGAGCACGGUCACUUUUCCUUCCAUGGACCCUCCAGCACACUAAACCUGGAAAACUGGCUGAGUUACUAAGUACGGUAUCACGUCAGAAUGAGAGACCCAGUCUCUCCUCUCUUCCUUUCUCUUCUUACUAUAAAACCAUACAUGAGUUUUCUAGUCUUUAUAUCGUACAUUGAAUUCAUAUUAAACUACUCAAAACCAAAAUAGUAAGCUUCACUUGGAAUUCUUCUGUGGGACUCUACGAGGGGAUUGAAAAUCGUUGUCUUGGACUAGCUGCCUUUUGAGUCUCUCGUUGUAGUCACCCUGGGUUGUAGUCACCCUGGGUUUUGAAUCUAGCAGGCACCCCUUGGCAAGGAGUACCUUGUGCACUUUCAGUUUUCCUAGACUCCUUUCCUUGUAAGAGUCAGGAUCCUCAACAGCUCAUUUUUUCAGUUAACAAUAGCAGGUAUUGUCCUCUAUCCAUCCUUCCCCAGCGGCUGGGGAAACAAGAACCUCUGGUGAAUUAUUCUUGAAUGUUGCUCUGUGUCACAAUCCUGCUGUCCCUCUUUUGAUAGCCCGCAGAUUACUAAAAAUGUUAAUCUAUGUGACUGUAUUUGUGAAAAGAGUACAAAUGCUAAGACUUUCAGUUUGCUUUCUUAGAGAGGGAUCAUUGAUUUGUCUUUGCAUUCUUAAGCUACCCAGUGUACUCUGUCCCUGCUGGAUUAAACCGGAUAAGUGGCAAAUAAAAUUGAGAGGUAUUUUAAAUUUAAUGAACCAUACCAUUAUAUAUUGUGAAAUGCCACAGCCAUGUUACCUAGACUGAAUCUUAAGGUCUCCUCUUUUAUAUAUUGUGUUAAUGUAUAAUUAACUUUUCUAUAUCUCUUUUCUUCCAAAAAGCUCAAAAUGCUUCACAUAGCUUAUCUUUUACAUUCAGCAACAUCCCUGUGAGGUAGGUAGAAGGCAGGUAUUAUUACCUUCAUUUUACAGAUAAAAGACCUAAAGCAUAGAGUUUAAGUGACUUGCUCAAGUUCAGUUUCUUGGUGGCAGAACUUAGAUUAGACCUCGGUCUCAACUUGCAGUCAUGAGCUCUUCCUCUGCAGCUGCAUUCAAGCUGAUCAGUCAGAAGGCUCUCGGUUGAUGAUGUACGUUCAGUUUUAGCACAAAUAAGGAUCCAACAAUUCUGAAUUUCAUUUUUGUAAACAUUGAAAUGUUUUAUACAAAACUUACGAUGGGAGUUAGUUUUCUAGAUUUGCAACUCUCAGGGAAGUAUAAAAUUGGUCGCAAUGGGCUUUGAGUUUAAUUGUCUAUCCCUCAGAUCUCUUCAGAAGUAGUACAUAAUACAAAUAUAUAAAUUCAACUUCUGUAUGUUUUCUUCUAUGUUUUAUGCUGGGACUCACUGGAAAUCUUUAGCCCUAUGAGUUUGUGUCUCUUGAGUGGCUGCAAAAGUGGUUGGAUGAAUCAACACCUACCAAGCCUAUUGAUAAUCACGCCUGCCUCUGUUCCCAUGACAAGCUGCAUCCUGAUAAAAUAUCAA